rnacentral:rRNA from 1 species
UACGUAGGGUGCGAGCGUUAAUCGGAAUUACUGGGCGUAAAGCGCGUGUAGGCGGCUCGGUAAGUCCGGUGUGAAACCUUGGGGCUCAACCCCAAGCCUGCACUGGAUACUGUCGAGCUCGAGUCCGGGAGGGGAGAGCGGAAUUCCUAGUGUAGCGGUGAAAUGCGCAGAUAUUAGGAAGAACACCGGUGGCGAAGGCGGCUCUCUGGAACGGUACUGACGCUGAGACGCGAAAGCGUGGGGAGCGAACAGG